rfam:Sphingomonas sp. Ag1 JX01_contig_9, whole genome shotgun sequence.
CCAGAGGGCCGGGCGGCCGCGUCGUGGGCUGGUCCCGCGCCGAGGAAAGUCCGGGCUCCAUGGAACAACGGUGGCGGGUAACGCCCGCCGGGGGUGACCCCAGGGAAAGUGCCACAGAGAGCAGACCGCCCAAUCUUUCAGAUGAAGGCUUCGGCCGGGCAAGGGUGAAAGGGUGCGGUAAAAGCGCACCGCGCGGCCGGUAACGGCGGCGGCAUGGCAAACCCCACCGGGAGCAAGACCGAAUAGGGGCGGCAUGGGGACUUGAUCCCCGGGGUGUGUUCCCACCUGCUGCCCGGGUUGGUUGCUGGAGCGCGUCGGCAACGGCGCGCCGAGAGGAAUGGUCGCCUAUCCCGCAAGGGGGGACAGAACCCGGCUUACAGGCCCUCUGGUGUC